CAUUAAGAAUCAUUUUCUUAUUACAAACUACAGCUGGAAUUUUUGAAAAUUCCUCUUUUAUACUCUACUAUCUCGCCCUGUACUAUAGAGAAUACACAGUAAAGCCCACAGCUUUCAUUCUCUUUUACCUAAUCAUAGCCAACAUCUUGGUCAUUCUCCCUUCAGGAGUGACCCAAAUAUUGUCAUUUUGGGGACUGAAGGAGUUUCUGAAUAAUUUUGGAUGUGAGCUCCUACUGUACAUUAAUGGAUUUGGUAGAAGAGUGUCCAUUUGCACUACCUGUGUUUUGAGUGUCUUCCAAAACAUAACUAUCAAUCCUAGGAAACAUUGUUAGAAAGAUCAUAAAGUCAUAGCUAUAAAGGUCAUUGACUAAUCCAUUCCCCUCUUCCGGGUAUUGCACAUCUUGAUUAACUUCAUUUUCUUUGUACACACAACUAUUAAAAGGCAUCAAAAAUGUCACAAGAACACCAGAUUUUGGAUACUGUUUUCAUAUGGGGAGUGACUAUAUCAGUGACUUCCUGUAUGCAGCAUUGAUGGUGUGCCCUAAGGUUUUCAUUUCUCUGCUUAUUGCUUGGUCCAGUUCUAUGAUUGUCAUUAUGUAUAGACAAGCAGAGUGUUCAACAUAUCCGCACAUCACCCAGUUCCUUCAGAACCUCCUCUGAAUCCAGGGCUACCCAGAACAACCUUGCACUAUUAUCUACAAUUCUGACUUGCUAUACUCUUUCCUUCAUCGUAAGAUGCUGCAUUACUCAUUUGCAUGAUUGCAAUUGGUGGCUGAUUAAUAUCAAUCAUCUCAUUUCUCUGUGUUUUCCUUUUUUUUUUGCUCCAUUUGUUCGCAUCAGUCAUUACUCCAUUGUGUACAGGUUCAGUUUGCACUGGUGAAGAAAAAAUAACUGUCUCCUAAUUUAA
rnacentral:lncRNA from 1 species